ensembl:snoRNA SNORD115 Small nucleolar RNA SNORD115
GGAUCAAUGAUGCAACCUAAUAUUGUUUUGAAGUGAUAUGGUGAUCUAAAAAUUAUGCUUGAUAGGAUUAUGUUAAGACCC